CCUACGGGUGGCAGCAGUGGGGAAUAUUGCAAAAUGGGCGCAAGCCUGAUGCAGCCAUGCCGCGGGUGUGAAGAAGGCCUUCGGGUUGUAAAGCACUUUCAGCGGGGAGGAGGGCGGUGAGGUUAAUAACCUCAUCGAUUGACGUUACCCGCAGAAGAAGCACCGGCUAACUCCGUGCCAGCAGCCGCGGUAAUACGGAGGGUGCAAGCGUUAAUCGGAAUUACUGGGCGUAAAGCGCACGCAGGCGGUCUGUCAAGUCGGAUGUGAAAUCCCCGGGCUCAACCUGGGAACUGCAUUCGAAACUGGCAGGCUAGAGUCUUGUAGAGGGGGGUAGAAUUCCAGGUGUAGCGGUGAAAUGCGUAGAGAUCUGGAGGAAUACCGGUGGCGAAGGCGGCCCCCUGGACAAAGACUGACGCUCAGGUGCGAAAGCGUGGGGAGCAAACAGGAUUAGAUACCCCAGUAGUC
rnacentral:rRNA from 1 species